CGUGAUCAUCCUCGCGGACAGCGCGGCUGUGCGGGCGGAGAGCUGUCGCACAACCAGAACUGGAUAGAGUAUUCCAGAAGAGGCCUCCCCAUCAUCUUGUACAUCCUCAACAUAACGUCCCAACUCCUGUACUCCAAGGUCUGAACAAUCAAGAUCCCAGUGAUUAAUGCCAAAGCCCUGUUGCCUGGGGAGAGGGUGAUGUUUGACUUUCUUGUACAGCUGCAGUUUGUGUGGUGAAGGUGCUCCCACAAUGUGGUUGGGAUGAGGCUGUCACUGUCUCGGCCAGCAUUUAUUGCUGCGUUUACCCAGAGGGCAGUUAAGAGUCAACCACGUUGCUAUAGGUCUGGAGUCCCAUGCAGACCAGACCAGAUCCCAGUGAUCGGUGCCAAAGCCCCAUUGCCUGUGGAGAGGGUGAUGUUUGAUUUCCCUGUCCAGCUGCAAUUCAUGUGGUGAAGGUGCUCCCACAAUGUGGUUGGGGUGCUAGACGGUGAAGAUUUGCAGACUGAAAUCUCAAACUCGUAUGCAGAUUGUGAUUAAGUUAACCAGCAUUUGAAGAACCAAACAUGGAGAAUAACUUGCCCAAAAUUCUGCAACACUCUCCCUGACAGCAUUGUCGGUCUUUCUGCGCCAAAUGGACUGUGAAUGGUUCAAGACAGCAGCUCACUACCAUCUUCUCAAGGGUAACUAGAGAUGGGGAAUAAAUGCUGGCUGAGCCAGUGAUGCCCAUAUCCUGGAAAUGGUUUCUAUCUCUAAUUGCUGAGUUUGGGGAGAAUGUGCAAACUCCACACAGGCUGUUGACCAAGGCUGGACUCUAACCUUGUACCUGGUGCUGUGGAGCAGCAGUGCUAUAGAGCAAUUUAAAUCAAAACAGAUGACCCCUGCUCAUUGCUGUUUGUGGAGAAUCAUUGCCCAGAGAGACAUCCUGAGAUUCAGAAAGAGACAAUAUGAAUUCAAUCAACUCCUGCCGAGUUAAUGUGAUUAACAACAACAUCAAUACUCCAACAGUGUUAUGAGACUUCGUACCUACUAUAUCAUUUACGAUUUUUAACCAUCUUCAAUGACAGCCAUAAUACUCUGACCACUUUGACAGAGUCACUGCUAGGCAGUUCUAAUAGUUAUCGAUAGAUUGAAUCUAAACAGAAUGCCCCACAACAGGAAGUGCUCUGACACUCAAUGCCCGUAAUUCAAGGUCAUUUUUCUAAAACCACUCGCGUCUGGCAAUACCAUUGAAUGUAUUUUAUACAGGAGUCUUUCAGUCUCAAUUGUCAGUUCCAGUCCAUGAAGCAGCCAGUAACAUGCCAGUGAAUUGAAUUCUAACAGCAGCAUUGCCCUGGCAGGAGAGAUUGAGGAGCUUGAAGCUGUCUUCUCUGGAGUAUCUAAACAUGAAACACUUCAAAUGAACAAAAAUCUUCAAGAGCUCGAUAGGACAGAUACAGGAAGGAUGUGCUCCGAGGCUGGUGUGCCUGGAAUAAAAUAAGCACUAACUAUGGUAUCUUUACCCAGCAUCCCCUUUAGCUGCAUCAAUGUUGAAGAUUUAUUUGCUGCCUAAUUCAACUCUCUUGAUCACUCCCAUUUUUCACUGCUGUAAUGUUGAUGACUGUGCAAAUGUAUAAGAUUUAAUUUAAUCCAUCCCAAAGCCUCUCUGUACCUGUGUCUCACUUGUGUUCACCGAGACACUCAUUCAAUCUGACCUCUUUACAAACCCUGCUCUGAUAUUUCCUUAGAGGGCUCAGAAUUAAUUAUUCACAGAAUUGUUACUAUACAAAAGGAGGCUGAUUGGCUGAUCAGCUCUCCAAAGGAUCACCUCACUGACUGCCAUUCUUCUCCCUUUACCCCAUAAACCUUCCAAUAACACCAGCGAGUUCACAACUAACCACAGCGAUUGGAUUGUUUUGUUUGUUCAUGGGAUCACGGCAUCACUUGCUGGGGCAGCAUUUGUCAUCCAUUCUGACUGCCCAGGAAAUGGUUCAGAGUCAACCCCAUUAUUCAGGGUCUGGAUUGACAUGUCGGCUGGACCAGAUCAGAAUUAACAGAGUUUCCCAGGCACAAUGACAUGAAGAGUUGAUUUCUGGUCUAUUAUCCUAUUUCAGAAAU